GAACAGUCCGGGCUCGGGGGGCCCAAAACCUGAUGAGAGUUAGAAAAAAAUAGGUCCUGUUUACCCAGAACUCUGCAGCCUGGACCCCAGACUACUCCCCCAGACCCAGGGGACCAGGCUGCUCCCGUCAUCCCUCAGACCCAGAGCUCCAGACUCCAGGCCUCCUCCUCCUCCAGACCCAGUGGUCCUCCUUAACCUUCCUCCCUCAGAUUCACUAUUCCAGCCCUCCUCUCUCAGACACAGGGGUCCUAUCAAGCAGGCAGUGAUGCGGUGUUCUUCAGGGUCACCAGCUAAAGGCAGCCAUGUGCUACCACUGAGAACGCUCAUGGCACCUUGCCUGCUGACCCUCCCUACGAACCCGGAGAGGCAGCUGGGUCCUAAAGUUGAGGGAGACAGGGUAACAGCCCGUUCCUGCCGAUGAUGGUCACUGCGAUGGGAGAGGUCAGCAGAGAUCACUGGUCAAUAGAUCACAGACUCUCAAGCUACGCAGUGAUGGCGCAAGACUGAAAUCCCAGGACUCGGGGAGACAGAAGCAGAGAGUUCUCUGAGUUCGAGGGUAGCCUGGUCUGCAGAGCGAGUUCCAGGACAGCCAAGGCUACGCAGCAAAACCCUGCCUCGAAAGAAUAAAGAUCACAGAUUCUCCAAAACUCUGCUGCUGCUAACACCAUCGGUAAGCACCGACUGAAGUGCUCUUGCCUGGAAAAAUCUUUGUAAUUUUGACAGACAGAAGCUUGCCUGGGAUUACAAAACCAGGUACAGCGACUCGGACACUCCACACGUGGAUAUAUGCCUUUUGUUUCAGGAUCUUGAGUCCCUUCCCCAGCCAAGACCCUGUGUCAAGUCCCAGAGAUCCUGGGCCCCCUAUCUAAAGGAACCCAAGAACGACUGGACCUUAAAACGUGCAGGCUCCACGCCCCAGCCACAACUUCCCCGCACCCACUCCACGCUGUGCUCCUCCCUUUACAGCCCUCCUCCCUGCUCCCCACUUCCGACCUCCCUAUUCAGGUACCUCCCGCACCCCAGUCAUGUCUACCCACUCUGCCGCCCGUUAAAGCCCCGUACUCCUUUCCAAGGGGCCCCAUCCGCCUCUGUGUCCAGCAGCGGAACCCGAGGCACAGAGGAAUGACGCCAAGCCGGAAAGGCUGGACGCCAGGGCUCCGUCCGGAAGUGUGCCCCCAUCGGGUUCCCCAGAGCCCCCAGCGCCGGUCGGCCACGGACCCACCUGCCCUAGUACGGCUGCGGCCAUGAUCCGAGCGGCGGGUAACUGUGCCCGCUUGGGGCGCGGCCUGGAGAAAGACAUUCGGGCCCCGCCCUGCUCACGCCCCCUCCCGCAGAUGGCUGCUCUCUGCGGGCCUCACUUCAGCCAGGCGGCUCUGAGUGAUAGGACCUCAGGGACCCAGGCUCUGCCGUGAAGAAGAGCUGGAACAGUCCAGAACUGUCAUUCAUUCUCCCAACUGGCCUCCACCCUGCCUUGCUCUUCCCCAGCCACACCCAGGCCCAGCCAGGCAUUUAUCUUGGCUAUUGUUUUGCUUGAGAGUACUUGGGGACUGAACCCUUGGCCUCAGGAACGUUAAGGAAGUGUCCUAACCACCGAGAAAACAUCUCCAGACCUAAAGAAAGAACGAAAGGAAGGAAGGAAGGAAGGAAGGAAGGAAGGAGAAGGAAGGAAGGAAGAGAGAGAGAGAAAGAAAGAGAGAGAAAGAAAGAAAGAAAGAAAGAAAGAAAGAAAGAAAGAAAGAAAGAAAGAAAGAAAUUGAUAGACAGAUAGAUAGAUGUUAGAUGUUGCCGGGCAUGGUGGUACAUGCCUUUAAUCCCAGCAUUUGGGAGAAAGGAGGAUCUCCUGUGAGUGCAAAGCCAUCCUGACCUAUGAAAUGAGGCCGGCAACGGCUAUAUAGUGAGACCCUUUCUCAAAACAAAACAAAUGUAGAGUUGGAAAGAGGGCUCAACAGUUAAAAACACUGGUUGCCCUUUCAGAGCACUGGGUUCGGUUCCUGGUACCCACACCGAAGCUCACAACUGUCUGCAACUCCAGUUCCAAGGGCUCCUAUGCCCUCUUCUGAAUUCCACUGUCCAUGCACAGGCCAUAUAUAUGUGCAAGCAAUACAAAUGUACACAUAAAAA